GACGAACGCUGGCGGCGUGCUUAACACAUGCAAGUCGAGCGAUGAAGCACCUUCGGGUGUGAAUUAGCGGCGAACGGGUGAGGAACACGUGAAGAAUCUGCCUUCAACUCUGGGAUAACUCCGGGAAACCGGGGCUAAUACCGGAUAUGAGCCUUGAUCGCAUGACCGGGGCUGGAAAGUUUUUCGGUUGAAGAUGACUUCGAGGCCUAUCAGCUUGUUGGUGGGGUGAUGGCCAACCAAGGCGACGACGGGUAGCCGGCCUGAGAGGGCGACCGGCCACACUGGGACUGAGACACGGCCCAGACUCCUACGGGAGGCAGCAGUGGGGAAUAUUGGGCAAUGGAGGAAACUCUGACCCAGCGACGCCGCGUGAGGGAUGAAGGCCUUCGGGUUGUAAACCUCUUUUGUCAGGGAAGAAACACCGGCUCUAACACAGUCCGGGAAUGACGGUACCUGAAGAAUAAGCACCGGCUAAC
rnacentral:rRNA from 1 species